rnacentral:rRNA from 1 species
GAUGAACGCUGGCGGCGCGCCUAACACAUGCAAGUCGAACGAUUAAAGCACCUUCGGGUGUGUAUAAAGUGGCGAACGGCUGAGUAACACGUGGGCAACCUGCCCCUUUCAUUGGGAUAGCCACGGGAAACCGUGGAUAAUACCGAAUACUUCGAGACUUCCGCAUGGAAGACUCGAGAAAGCUCCGGCGGAGAGGGAUGGGCCCGCGGCCUGUUAGCUUGUUGGCGGGGUAACGGCCUACCAAGGCAAUGAUGGGUAGCUGGGUUGAGAGACCGACCAGCCAAAUUGGGACUGAGACACGGCCCAGACUCCUACGGGAGGCAGCAGUGGGGAAUCUUGCACAAUGGGCGAAAGCCUGAUGCAGCGACGCCGCGUGCGGGAUGAAGGCCUUCGGGUUGUAAACCGCUUUCAGCAGGGACGAGGCGAAAGUGACGGUACCUGCAGAAGAAGCCCCGGCUAACUACGUG